UACAGAGGUGGCAAGCGUUGUUCGGAAUUAUUGGGUGUAAAGGGUAUGUAGGUGUCCCAUCAAGUCCUUCUUAAAAUACUUUGGCUCAACCAAAGAACCGGGAAGGAUACUGACGGGAUUGAGUAUAGGAGAGGAGAGCGGAAUUCCCGGUGUAAGGGUGAAAUCUGUAGAUAUCGGGAGGAACACCAGUGGCGAAAGCGGCUCUCUGGACUAAUACUGACACUGAAAUACGAAAGCAAGGGGAU
rnacentral:rRNA from 1 species